AGCUUUUAAUACAUACCAUACCCACUUCUUUUUUUUUUGAGACGGAGUCUCGCUCUGUCGCCCAGGCUGGAGUGCAGUGGCAUGAUCUCAGCUCACUGCAAGCUCCGCCUCCCCGAUUCACGCCAUUCUCCUGCCUCAGCCUCACGAGUAGCUGGGACUACAGGCGCCUGCCACCAUGCUUCUCCCAUUUCUCUGGGGAUAUCAGUGGAGAAAAGGUUUUUUUUUUUCCCUUCUCUCUCUCUGUAUUAUCUUUGUUUCCUCUUAAGUUGUAGUUUUUUCCAUAGUUUUGACCUCCUCACAUUGGAGGCCUUUGUCGAAGUCUGGUUUCCUGGUUGCCUGCUCAUUUUGGUAAGUGGGGCACUCCCUGUCUCUGGAAGGACCUGUGCCGCACUUUCUGAUCUGUGGGGAAGGGAGGUGGGGAGAGAGCUCCGCUUUCCCCAUCGGGCUCUGCCGUGGGGGUCCCCUGGGUACAGACAUGGCUAAUGGACCAGGGCCUCUGUGGUCAGAAGAGAGUCAAGCAAGCAGGUGGCAGAUCUGGGAGCAGCAUGCCCACCACCCAGUCAGGCCGGUUGUCCCUCUUUCGUAACUCUCCAAGGAUUGUGCCACACCUCAUCUGCUCAUUUCACCUGCUUACACUUUCUCCUCACAACCCUGUUGGAUGUCUUUCUCCCC
rnacentral:lncRNA from 1 species